UGGCUCAGUUAGUAGAGCAUGGUGCUUGCAGCACCAUGGUUGUGGGUUCAAUUCCCAC
rfam:Salmo salar isolate Sally breed double haploid chromosome ssa16, whole genome shotgun sequence.